CAUUGCAUGUUUCAACUGGAAAAGCUAUAAUUUCUGGGGAAAUUGUGUGAAGUGUUCUUGCCUCCACCAGUAGUCUACAACUGGAGUGGGCGGAGUAACUGGGUGGAGUGGCUUGAGUAACUGUUGUGUGGUUGGAGUGGCUGGAGUAACUGUGGAAAGGUUGCACUGGGCAGAGUAACUUUAUGAAACAUUGAUUAGCUGUGUUGUUGUUACAUUGUAU